rnacentral:rRNA from 1 species
CCUACGGGAGGCAGCAGUGGGGAAUAUUGGACAAUGGGCGAAAGCCUGAUCCAGCCAUGCCGCGUGAGUGAUGAAGGCCUUAGGGUUGUAAAGCUCUUUUACCCGGGAAGCGGUACCGGGAGAAUAAGCCCCGGCUAACUUCGUGCCAGCAGCCGCGGUAAUACGAAGGGGGCUAGCGUUGUUCGGAUUUACUGGGCGUAAAGCGCACGUAGGCGGAUUCUUAAGUCAGGGGUGAAAUCCCGAGGCUCAACCUCGGAACUGCCUUUGAUACUGGGGAUCUUGAGUUCGGGAGAGGUGAGUGGAACUGCGAGUGUAGAGGUGAAAUUCGUAGAUAUUCGCAAGAACACCAGUGGCGAAGGCGGCUCACUGGCCGAACUGACGCUGAGGUGCGAAAGCGUGGGGAGCAAACAGGAUUAGAUACCCUUGUAGUC